UUUAUAACAGUAGGUUGUUCAAAUAGCAGUACAUGACACCUUUUUUUGAACUCGCACUACAAGGUACAACUUCAGUAAAAUUCGUAGAAAUGAAACUAAUAUAUUGAUUCAAAGGCAUAAUUUGUUACAUUGCAAUGCAAGUAUCGUCUAUUAGGACUACAUCAAUUUCCUAGAAAAUGAAACAUUUUAAAGCAUAUAAAUUUCUAAAAUUCUGUGAACUGUCUUCACUCUCCUCCAAGUACCAAAGAUCAGCAUAAAUUAUCCAAGGAUCCAAGUAAUCACCUAGUAUUGAACUUCUCAUCAACCUAUAAAGAAAAAAGCAUAAUACUAUUCAGUUAUAAAUUCGAAAUUUGAAGUCUAAAAAUAUACAUGCUAUGCAUUCUACGGAAAGGAUCUACAUAAAAAUACCACGUGUCCAAGAGAAGAUGUUUCGGAGAACAGACAUAAGCAUAUGUAUGUCUUACACAUAACUUAGUAGAGUUCAGAUUAAGACACUAAUGACGUGUUUGGUUCGCAGAAAAAUAGCGGUUUCUGAUUUCAAUGCUUCCUGAAACCAUACCAUUCACCUGCAAUGUCUUUUAUAGCUGUGGUUUCUGAUACAGGACUUCACAAAACUAAAAAUGCCCAGAUCGAAGCUGAUUGGAAAACUGAAACAUAUCUGCACCAACCAAAUGAAGCGUGUUUUCCAUAGAGCCAAUCGGAAGCAAAGCUUCCCAAUACGAUAAAAUCAAUAUGUUUCUGGAGCCGAACGAGAUGUGUCGCAGGCAUCUUUGAUCAAUCGGAUGUGCCUAGUCACUAUCAACAACCAUCAACAUGUAUUUACUACUAACAAUUAUCCAAAGAUUGUAUUAUAUUAAUAAUGAGAUGAAUUCAACAACCAACUAGGUGGUAAGUACUUAGAUAACAAUAAUAUCGACUAAAGAAUUGUAUUUCUUUUUUCCAAAGGACUCUGCACUAAUUAGUUUUGCUUUCUAUGAUGUAUUAAGAGAGAAAAUAUCGAUGCCAUCAGCUUGAAAACCGUCACACAAAACUGCGUAGUUACCUGAGAACUACAACUUCGGACAUUAGAAAUUUUCAAUCCAUGAGUGCAUUCUCAGAACCUGUAGAGGGAACAACAUGAAAAAGGAACACAUCAUCAGAUUUGGGGCAGUUGGCAUUGUUAACUGUGAAAUGGAAAAGGGGUGUUGUUGGAUAACUUUCUAAUCCACUCUGCUUGCCAUCAUGCCUGGCCUGAGCCCCUGACGCAGCCUUGCUGGAUAGCAUGAUCUAAUUAUUACAGACAAGAUCAUGCCCUAAUUAGAAGAGAGGACAUGAGAGAAUAAUUCAUUAGAAGUUAGGAAAGAUAAAUCGGAGGAACCAUACUAUACUGAGCCGCUAUAGGAAGUUUGGUUCCACUCUUACCGCAACACCACCACAAUCUGAGAUGAGGACAUCAGACACAAACAAAUAUUUAGAAGAGAUGAGCCACGACUAUGGUCUUGGCCGCCCUAGAUGGGGCAUGAAUUCGUUUGGGCUUCUCUAGGAAAAAGUUUGGAUGUUUUGUUUCUAGAGAAAGUGAGAUCCAAGAUGUUUACACAAGAAGAGAAAUUGAUUUGCCACUAAUUAAUUGUUGAAGACCAACCUAGUACAUAAGCUAAAUGCAUAUUUAUGAAAAUGCAUCAAAAGGGGACCUAUGUAAUGGCUGAACAGUCUGAAUAAAAGCAGACCAUGGCUGAUUAGUUUUUUUUUCAAUACUUACCUAGUUUUAAGAAAUACUACCCAUAAGCCAUUGCUGCCAAUGUGGCAUAUUAUAUAUCAAAAGAAUUUGAUCUUUGUGACCUUUUAGCUUCCUAAUGUUGUAUCAUUUGUCAUGCCAUUCAAUAACUGAACAUCAAAAUCUAUAGGAAUGUACAAAAUAGGGUAAUGGGCAAAAUAUGGGAAUGUACAAAAUACCUAAUCGAUGAGCGAAUGGGUUACCUUACUCUCCGACGAUGUAGUAAUCUGUACAUAUCUAUCUGCCCUGAAGCUGCAUGCCAUUAAAGUAAGUUAAUCCCUUACAAAUCAGCAAAGGCAAGCUAAAGAUCUUAACAUAGUCCUAUUUAUUUGUGCAUCUAUUGUCAACUGUUUGAAACAUGACCUGGAAACUUCAUACCAAAAUCACAGCUACUCCAAGUAUUUAGAGACUGACAAACUGUUAGCUUUCAUCUAGUAGGCACAAAAAAUUCAUGGAAAAAAUCACAUGAUAAUAUACAGGUGGAAAAUAUAAUUAGAUACACUCGACACAUAUCUUAUUGGUGGUCAGGAAAGUUUGUGCUACUAACCUACUUGUCAUGGAGCAGUACAACUUCAGCGCAGAAUUGAUUUGCAGAGCUUGGAAAUUUCAUGGUAUGACAACCCGAAGCCAAUGUAGAGGAAGCCUGGAGCUCCUGCAUAGAUGUCAAUAGAGUUAAUCAUAUGUUCAAUGCAUGUUUUAUCUUGAAAACAGAAGGGGGGAAUCAUCAACAACUGAACCGUAGCUACAUUACGCGCCCAUAAGGCAAUUUGUGUCAGAUCCAACCUGCAG
rnacentral:lncRNA from 1 species